AUGAACCCAUUUCACACGCAAUGUCAGAGCAUAAGUAAAGUACAGUAAGGAAGGAUGAGAAUUAUACCAUCAAAGGUAAUCUCCAGUGCCAAGAUUUGCCAAGAAUCCUCGUCAAUACGAAAGUUUAGUUACUAAAACCUGGAGGGGCGAAAAACAAGGGUGAGUGGACCUAAAAAUAAAGCUUUGUAAAAAUAUUUUCGAAAACAUAAUAACCCAUUGCCGUAAAACAAGUACAGUUUCCAAAAUAUACAUACUACGUAUAGCAAGAAAAUACUUACCGUAGCCUACGAAAUUCCAGAAUUCAACACGGCACAAUAUUUUGUAAAUAACACAUGUCGUCCAUAAUCACAUAAUCUCGUAUAAGCAAACAUAUCAUAUCAAGUGCUCAUCGACACAUGUUGACACACGAGUUCAUGCAGAGAUAUUCUAACAUGAACAAGACUAGGUGUAAUAAUGAUUUACGCUAUAGUACUACAAUCAUGUGAAGACUAGCGUUAUGCGUAGCGUAUACGAGUCCUAAUUGCCUAUAACAAUCUAGGACAGGACUGACACCUACAAUGUAUCCAAAGUGAAUGUACGGUGCGAUGUGUACAUACACGUGAAAGAUUAGCCCUAGCUUGGGUGUGUACUAACACCAGUGCAGCAAACGAUGAGCAGAUAACAUAAAUAUAAUCAUGCCACAGUGAUUUGAUAACUCUAGUCAACAUAACAUCAUUCAUAGCUGUAAAUAUAGUUAUGGCAUCAAUAAUAAUGCGCAUACCUGUGCAUCCCGUAGGACAUAGCAUAACUUCAUACUUUCAAUCAAUGUGCUAAAUCUUAUAAACGUUACGCUAAUCUAGGUGUAUUGUAGAAACUCUUUAUGAAAUGUAUAAAUGGAAACUAACAAUUAUAUAUAUAUAUAUAUAUACACACACACACUAUAUAAAAGAAAAUACCCACUCACAGUUACGUGCGAUGUCACAUCCGUUCGAGCUAGGAAGCCAGAGUCUCCAAUAGUAAUCGCACCUAGACAUAAUAUUGAGACCCAUUAGUAAAACUUAAUUAAAAUGUUUGAAUUUGAAGAAAUGGACGGCGGAUUCGGA
rnacentral:lncRNA from 1 species